GUGGACUUUUGUUAGUCACUGCUCUGACCCAUUUUGGAGCUGUCUAUAAAACCCCAGCUUCCCAGCUCUGUUCCCAGGAGGCUACACAGAGAUGGAAUAUUUGGUUUGGGGAUACAUAGAUGGGAUCAGUAGAUAUUUUUUUGUUGCCCACACCUGUAACUGACCACAGGCUUAACAACAACAGUGAGCUGAACCAAAAUCUAGGGAGCUUUAAGAUUUUCUCUAAACACUCCCUAUUCUUCCCCAGUUAGUGGAUGAUGGCCAUUUGUCCACAUGUCUUAACUGACAAGUCUAUUCUAUCCAAAUUCUAGGCAUGGGAUUUGUUCCCUGUUUUCUUCCUCUCUACCCAGGACCAGUGUGAGCCUGUAAUCUAGAUAAGUGUGUCUUCUCUGAGGGCUGAAACUUUCCUUCAGGUGGCCUGUCUCAAGUUCCAGCCUGGGGAGAGGUAGUUAGCCACCCCAUUUGGUUCUCAUGCUUCAGCUUUAUUAAUCAUUGCAUUAAGAUUCUCCAGAGAAACAGAGCCGGUAGUAGAUCUAUCUACUAUCUAUCUAUCUAGAAGAGGGAUUGAUUUAUUAUAAGGAGUUGGCUCAUGCAAUUAUGGAGGCUGACAAGUCCCCAGUUUGCCAAAUGCAAAUCUGGAGAACCAGAAGAGCUGUUGGUGUAAUUCUAGUUCCAACGCCAAAAGGUUAGAGACCUAGGAAGAGCCAAUAUUUCCAUUUGAGUCCAAAAUUGGAGAAAAGUGGAUGUCCCUGCUAGUCAGGCAGGAGAAAUUCUCUCUCACUUAGAAGAGGGCCAGCCUUUUUUGUUCUUUCCAGCUUUCAAUUGAUUGAUGAGGUCCACCCAUAUUAAGAAGGACAGUCUGCUUUACUCAGUUGGCCAAUGCAAAUGCUAAUCUCAUUCAAAAACACCUUCACAGACAUACCUAGAACAGUAUUUGUACAACUGUCUAGGCACCACAUGGCCCAAUCAAGUUGUAUGUAAAAUUUAUCAUCAUCAACAUAAAAGCGAUCUACAGGCUACAAUAUAUGUUUUGGUUUUCUUCUUAAUUGGUUCAGAACUCUGACAGGGAAGAGUAGUGUUUCUUUGGGGGCAGGGGGUGAGGAUAUCCUCAAAGAGGAGAGGUACCUGCCUGGCCUCCAUCACUUUGGUGAUUAAAAGAAUGCUAAGCAUUUCAAAGAUACACUGGCUUUCUCUUUCUGUUUUUGUCCUUUGUCCUUUCUCAAAGUCCAUCUUUCUCUUUGAUAUCUGGCUGACUCACAAAAUCUCCUGAUUUAACUUCUAUGUCGACUAGACAACCUUGCUGUCUUUCCGCUCUUCUGAUCGCCUCUGAUCAAUACUACCCACUCAGCAGAGAUCUAAUUCAUAAGAAUAGUUGUGAUUUAUUGAAGAAUUAAUAAAUAUAAGGCAGCAUGCUAGGGCAUUAUGCUAGAAAUGGAAGUAACCUAGAUGUUCAUGGAUAAAGAUGAGGUACAUAUAUAUAAUAGAAUACUAGUCAGACAUAAAAAGGAUGAAAUAAUGCCAUUUUCAGUAACAUGGAUGGUCCUAGAGAUUAUCAUACUAAGUGAAGUAAGUCAGACAAAGACAAAUAUAUGAUAUCAUGAUUAUGUGGAAUCUAAAAAAAAAUGACACAAAUGAAAUUAUGUACAAAACAGAAAUAGAUGCACAGACAUAGAAAACAAACUUAUGAUUACCAAAGGGGAAAGGGCAUGGGGGAAGGAUAAAUUAGGAAAUUGGAAUAAACAUAUACAUACUACUGUAUAUAAAAUAGAUGACCAACAAGGAUCUACUAUACAGCACAGGAAAAUAUAUUCAAUAUUUUGUACUAAGCUAUAAGGGAAAACAACCUGAAUCAAAUAUAUAUGUAUGAUUGAAUGGAUUCUCCAGACAUGAAUAUUGGAGUGAGUUGCCAUGCCCUCCUCCAGGGGAUCUUCCCAACCCAAGGAUCGAAUCCACGGUGCUUAUGUCUCCUGCAUCGCAGGCAGAUUCUUUACCAACUAGCGCCACCUGGGAAGCCCCUUACAUAUAAUAUAUAACUGAAUAUAUAUACACACACACACACACAUAUAUAUAUUAUAUAACUGAAUCACUUUGCUGUAUACCUGAAACUAACACAACAUUGUAAAUCAACUAUACUUCAAUUACAUUUUUAAAAUAAAUAAAUAGAUAAAUACAUUUUAGCCAUAGAAAGAAAAGAGCACGCACUAGUAAGUUGGAGCUAGCAGCUUCAUAGCUCUUCAGUGCAUACUCUUCGCCUCUUCACCCAGGGUCCU
ensembl:lncRNA